UCUACUAUGCUUAGGGCUGUUUUGAAGAAUAAUAAGAAAAUGUGGGAGGAAUGCUUGCCUCAUAUUGAAUUUGCUUAUAAUCGUUCAUUGCAUUCUACUACUAAGAUGUGCCCUUUUGAAGUUGUGUAUGGUUUCCUACCUCGUGCACCUAUUGAUUUGUUGCCUCUUCCAUCUUCGGAGAAGGUUAAUUUUGAUGCUAAACAACGUGCUGAAUUGAUUUUAAAAAUGCAUGAGUUAACUAAGAAAAACAUUGAGCGUAUGAAUGCUAAAUAUAAACUUGCUGGAGAUAAGGGUAGAAAACAUGUUGUGUUUGCACCUGGAGAUCUUGUUUGGUUACAUUUGCGUAAGGAUAGAUUUCCUGAUUUGCGCAAAUCAAAGCUAAUGCCACGUGCUGAUGGUCCCUUUAAGGUGUUAGAGAAAAUAAAUGAUAAUGCAUAUAAACUUGAGCUGCCUGCAGAUUUUGGGGUUAGUCCCACUUUUAACAUUGCAGAUUUGAAGCCUUAUUUGGGUGAGGAA
rnacentral:rRNA from 1 species